UACAUGUGGGGCAAGCGUUGUUCGGAAUUACUGGGCAUAAAGGGUGCGUAGGCGGUUUGGUAAGUCGAGGGUGAAAUCCGGUGGCCCAACCAUCGAACUGCCCUUGAUACUGCUGGACUUGAGUGCGUGAGGGGAGACUGGAACGAGUGGUGUAGCGGUGAAAUGCGUAGAUAUCACUCGGAACGCCAACGGCGAAGGCAGGUCUCUGGUACGCAACUGACGCUGAGGCACGAAAGCGUGGGGAGCAAACAGG
rnacentral:rRNA from 1 species